AAUCUUAUAUUUUAUAUUAAAAUAUUAAAUUGCAAGUUUAAAGAUGAAUUAUUUCUAAGAUUU
rnacentral:tRNA from 1 species